UUGGAAACUAGUAUGAACGGCUUCAUUAACUUAAUUAGUUUGUAAUUUUUAAUAUUAAGUUAAAUAUAAAGUAAGAAUUCUUUAAUAAGUUAAGGGACGAUAAGACCCUAAAAGCUUUAUAAUUAGUAUUCGAUUAUUUUUAAUAAAUAAAAUUAAUUCACUGGGGCAGUGAUUUUGUGUAUAUUUAAAUAAAAUUUAAGGGUCCUUUAAAUAAAGAUGAUAUGUGUAAGUUACUUUAGGGAUAACAGUGUGAUAUAUUUGAGGAGGUCGUAUCUAUAAAUAUGAUUGCAACCUCGAUGUUGAAUUAGAAUUUCUAUGUGAGCAGAAUAUACGCAAGAAAGUUUGUUCAACUUUUAAAUUUCUACAUGAUCUGAGUUCAAACCGG
rnacentral:rRNA from 1 species